UACGUAGGGUGCAAGCGUUUAAUCGGAAUUACUGGGCGUAAAGCGUGCGCAGGCGGUGAUGUAAGACAGAUGUGAAAUCCCCGGGCUUAACCUGGGAACUGCAUUUGUGACUGCAUUGCUGGAGUGCGGCAGAGGGGGAUGGAAUUCCGCGUGUAGCAGUGAAAUGCGUAGAUAUGCGGAGGAACACCGAUGGCGAAGGCAAUCCCCUGGGCCUGCACUGACGCUCAUGCACGAAAGCGUGGGGAGCAAACAGG
rnacentral:rRNA from 1 species